GAUGAACGCUAGCUACGGGCUUACCCAUGCAAGUCGAGGGGAAACGGCAUUGAGUGCUUGCACUCUUUGGACGUCGACCGGCGCACGGGUGAGUAACGCGUAACCAACCUUCCCAUUACUGUGGGAUAACCUGCCGAAAGGCAGACUAAUACCGCAUAGUCUUCUAUGACGGCUUCAGAUUUGAUGUAAAGAUUUAUCGUGAAUGGAUGGGGAUGCGUCAGAUUAGCUUGUUGGCGGGGUAACGGCCCACCGAGGCCACGAUUAGUUGGGGGUUCUGAGAUUAAGGUCCCCCUUUGUGGAACUGAUAUACGGUUCAAACUCCUUCGGGAGGCAUUAGUGAGGAAUUUUGGUCAAUGGAUGGAAGUCCUGAACCAGCCAAGGAGCGUGUUGGUUGUCGGCCCCUGUUGGGUUGUUCCACUGUUUUUGUUAUGGGGAUAAUGUUUAGGGAAUGUGGUCCCGUGUGUGUUUGUACCCAUACGAGAAAAUGACUGUGUUAUUGUGUCGUUGUUGAUGUUGGCUCGUGUGUGUUGCGCGAAGUGUGCAGUGCUCGUAUGAUGUGAUAUGUCUGGUGCUGGGUGAUAUGGGGCUUGUUUAGGCUA
rnacentral:rRNA from 1 species